AUAUUUCAUUUGUGGCCCUAGCUUGCAAUUGUUUUCAGCAGGAAUGUCUUCUACACCGCUCUUAAAUAAACGUGACUAUAUAUGCUACUAUAUGCAAAAUAAAAAAAAGGCGAAGACGGUCUUUCAAAAAAGAAGAACUCCUGUGAUGGCUCGGAGCCAGUUAGGGCAAUGGAAAAAAUAUUGUUUUCCUAGAUUCAUUGAGAAUAUCCCUCGCGGAGAGGUGUUUGUCUCCCAAAUAAUUAUAGUCAAUUGCACCCUUGAAAAACAAAAGUUCAAUCCCUUACCGAUUAACAUUUUGUUAAAACAGCCAUUUAGUACAGAAUGAAUAUAUACGUACUAGAUGACAGAAUGCAAAUUCAUUCUCAGUCGCAAUUGGAAAUGAAAUAUUGUAUGCAGAAAUAUUAGUGCAUUGUUCAAGUUGGGGCACAUCUCAAGGAGCAUAUACAUUUCAAUGUGGCAAGAAACCCAGCAUACUAUUUUUUUUUCUAAAUAGAAAAUUUUAUUACAUCCAAAUGAUAAAAGAAUUUCAAA
rnacentral:lncRNA from 1 species